GACGAACGCUGGCGGCGUGCUUAACACAUGCAAGUCGAACGCUGAAGCUCAGCUUUUGUUGGGUGGAUGAGUGGCGAACGGGUGAGUAACACGUGAGUAACCUGCCUCCGUCUUUGGGAUAACGCCCGGAAACGGGUGCUAAUACUGGAUAUUCACUGGUGUUGGCAGGGGGGGUGUGGGAAAGGGUUUUGCUGGUGGGGGAUGUGCUCGCGGCCUAUCAGGUUGGUGGUGGGGUGGUGGCCUACCAAGUCUUUGACGGGUAGGCGGACUGAGAGGGUGACCGGGAACAUUGGGACUGAGAUACGGCCUAGACUCCUACGGGAGGCCGCAGUGGGGAAAAAUGCACAAUGGGCGCAAGCCUGAUGCAGCGCCGCCGCGUGAGAGAUCGAGGCCUUCGGGUUGUGAACCUCUUUCGCUAAUGGUCAAGCCGCAACAAUGGUUGUGGUGAGGGUAGUGGGUAAAGAAGCGCCGGCUAACUACGUG
rnacentral:rRNA from 1 species